GACGAACGCUGGCGGCGUGCCUAAUACAUGCAAGUCGAGCGGACCGAAUGGAAGCUUGCUUUCAUUCGGUUAGCGGCGGACGGGUGAGUAACACGUGGGUAACCUGCCCGUAAGACCGGGAUAACUCCGGGAAACCGGGGCUAAUACCGGAUAACACCGAAGACCGCAUGGUCUUCGGUUGAAAGGUGGCUUCGGCUACCACUUACGGAUGGGCCCGCGGCGCAUUAGCUAGUUGGUGAGGUAACGGCUCACCAAGGCGACGAUGCGUAGCCGGCCUGAGAGGGUGACCGGCCAAACUGGGACUGAGACACGGCCCAGACUCCUACGGGAGGCAGCAGUAGGGAAUCUUCCGCAAUGGACGAAAGUCUGACGGAGCGACGCCGCGUGAGCGAAGAAGGUCUUCGGAUCGUAAAGCUCUGUUGUUAGGGACGAAGAAGUACCGUUCGAAUAGGGCGGUACGGUGACGGUACCUAACGAGAAAGCCCCGGCUAACUACGUG
rnacentral:rRNA from 1 species